rnacentral:misc_RNA from 1 species
UUCCUGAAGUUGAAAUCCCUACAUGGGGUGCCAUCUACAUCCCCUGCAUUAUCACCACAUUGAAUUCUGUUGGAACUCCAAGGUCAAUUCAUCUACUCUUCUACUGGAUUCUCUUCGAGAAUGUGAUGGCUUUCCAACGAACCAAGGCUACAUUUAUCGGCUUGCUAGAAGCAAAAAGAGCUAAUGAAUGGGUUGUCACGGAGAAACUAGGUGAUGCUCUCAAG